rnacentral:rRNA from 1 species
GACGUAGGGCGCGAGCGUUGUCCGGAUUUAUUGGGCGUAAAGAGCUCGUAGGCGGCUUGUCGCGUCGUUCGUGAAAUCUCACAGCUCAACUGUGGGCUUGCGGUCGAUACGGGCAGGCUGGAGUUCGGUAGGGGAGACUGGAAUUCCUGGUGUAGCGGUGAAAUGCGCAGAUAUCAGGAGGAACACCGGUGGCGAAGGCGGGUCUCUGGGCCGAUACUGACGCUGAGGAGCGAAAGCGUGGGGAGCGAACAGG